rnacentral:lncRNA from 1 species
GGGGUGAUGGCGGCCGCCGAUGCCGUUGAAGGUGAGGAAGUUGCCGAUGGCUUUGCCGGCGAGCUUGUUGCCCCGUUUGGCUAUGAGGCUAAGGUCUAAGGCUAUACGGCUUCUAGAGAUGCCUCGCCGUAGCAUGAAGAAUACGACGCGUGCUAUCUGCCACACCUUCUUCGUUACUAGUUGAUCUUCUCCCGCUUUCCGGCCUUCCAUUUCUUAUUUAUUUAGAGAGAGAGAGAGAGAGAGAGUAUAGAGAAAUGGUUUGAUCCGUUGUGGGUGUGGGGGAUGGGGUUAGAGAUCGAGUAGUAUUUAAAGGGCGAUGGGAAUUGCUUUACUAGCUAUAAUUGUUUUGGAUCAUAAUCCUCUUUGAUAUAACUAAUUAAUAAUACUAAUAGUACCGUAUUAUCUGGC